CUUUCUUUUUGUAUUGAGGUAGACUAAGUAAAGUGCUUGUACUGGAUCGGAGGUUAUAGAAAGUGGGAACAGCUGGGGAAAGCAUUUUGUUCAGGUAGGGUGGGAGUUUCCCAGAAAAGCUCUUAAAAACAAGGCUGGAAAGAUGAAGUGUGCGUCUGGAUUCCAGCGACAGCCAGUUUAGUUCCUUUAGCAUGUCACAAUGAUGGGUCCUGUAAUUACAUUGUAGCACAAAUCGGCAGAACGAGUUAUACAAUGUGUUGAGUUUAUUAAUGUGGGAUCGCGAUGCAGACGCAUAUACUACAUCCCCAUAAUCAAUGAUUGGCAUCAGCAUUUGUUGUACAAUCUUUUCCUUUACUGUAGGGCUUAGGCAGGAUUUGUUUCUGUACAGGGCACCUAAUUUUGGAUAAAGUUUAGAUGCAAGCUUUUCUAUGUGCAGGCCAAAAGAUAGAUUGGGGUCUAAUAUCAUACCCAAGUAUUUGAAAGAGUGGACUGCGGUCAGUGUGCCAUUUGAAUUUGUUUUGAU